UCCAAGAACCAAACUCCCCCUUUCAUUUUAUCUUCUUUCUCUCAACCCCUCUUUCUCCCAAACAAUGGUCGGCCGCCGCACCCACUCAACGCCGGCCACCAAAAGACGGUGGCCACCUCCUCGCCAAACGACGACUGCGACCGAGACAAAGCAAGCUGGCCUGGAAGGUUGCUGGCGGUUGGUGAUGGCAUGUGGUGUUGGUUAUCGCAGGGCAGAAUGGGCUAUUUUGAUGAUGAUUUUUUGGUAUUAAUAAUAAUAAAUAAAAUAAUAUAUUUGGGGUAAAAAAUUGGUGGUUACACACUGGGAUUCUCUUAUCACAAAGUUCUGUUCCUAGCUCUGAAACUGGUAUGUAUUUAAAAGCAUUUGAGUUCUCAAGCUCAACCUCUGGAGACUUUAGCUGAUUGUUUAAGUAUACAUUAUUCUGUGCUACAGGGAGAAAUUCAUAAGAAUAGUUUGAGUAA